UGGGGAAUAUUGGGCAAUGGGCGAAAGCCUGACCCAGCAACGCCGCGUGAUUGAAGAAGGUCUUCGGAUUGUAAAGAUCUGUCCUAUGGGAAGAAAAAAAUGACGGUACCAUAGGAGGAAGCCCCGGCUAACUACGUGCCAGCAGCCGCGGUAAUACGUAGGGGGCAAGCGUUGUCCGGAAUUACUGGGCGUAAAGGGUGCGCAGGCGGCGCUUUAAGUCAGAUGUGAAAGACCCGGGCUUAACCUGGGGGGUGCAUUUGAAACUGGAGCACUUGAGUGCAGGAGAGGUAAGUGGAAUUCCUAGUGUAGCGGUGAAAUGCGUAGAUAUUAGGAGGAACACCAGUGGCGAAGGCGACUUACUGGACUGUAACUGACGCUGAGGCACGAAAGCGUGGGGAGCAAACAGG
rnacentral:rRNA from 1 species